rnacentral:rRNA from 1 species
CUUCGGGGUACUCGAGCGGCGAACGGGUGAGUAACACGUGAGCAACCUGCCCCUGACUUCGGGAUAAGCCUGGGAAACCGGGUCUAAUACCGGAUAUGACUUCGCGUGGCAUCGCGCGGGGUGGAAAGUUUUUUCGGUUGGGGAUGGGCUCGCGGCCUAUCAGCUUGUUGGUGGGGUAGUGGCCUACCAAGGCGACGACGGGUAGCCGGCCUGAGAGGGCGACCGGCCACACUGGGACUGAGACACGGCCCAGACUCCUACGGGAGGCAGCAGUGGGGAAUAUUGCGCAAUGGGCGGAAGCCUGACGCAGCGACGCCGCGUGGGGGAUGACGGCCUUCGGGUUGUAAACCUCUUUCAGCAGGGACGAAGUUGACGUGUACCUGCAGAAGAAGCGCCGGCUAACUACGUGCCAGCAGCCGCGGUAAUACGUAGGGCGCAAGCGUUGUCCGGAAUUAUUGGGCGUAAAGAGCUCGUAGGUGGCUUGUCGCGUCUGCCGUGAAAGCCCAUGGCUUAACUGUGGGUCUGCGGUGGAUACGGGCUGGCUAGAGGUAGGUAGGGGCAAGCGGAAUUCCUGGUGUAGCGGUGAAAUGCGCAGAUAUCAGGAGGAACACCGGUGGCGAAGGCGGCUUGCUGGGCCUUACCUGACGCUGAGGAGCGAAAGCGUGGGGAGCGAACAGGAUUAGAUA